rnacentral:lncRNA from 1 species
GAGUGGGCAACUAACAGCGUCCACAGGCGGCGGUGGAUAGGAUAGGAUAGUGGGGGUGUGAAGUGUGAAAUGGAUGGGCUGAACUGAACAACGGUGUCAUUGGACGAUGAUGAGAUGAUGACUAUUAUUGGACGACGAGGACCACAACCAUGACGACGACCAAGGCCUGCAAAUCUGAGGUGAGGUGUUUUUUUAAAUAUUUUACUACAGCAAUUUUUCAAAAAUUACCGAUGUUGUUUGGAUUGCUGCUGCGUAUGAUAAACUCGUUAUUAAAAUAAAAAAAAAAAAAAAAAAAGCUAUCCACUUGGAUUGACCUAUAUUUAAAAAAUAACUAUUUUUUCUUUUUCUAUUAAAUCACUUUCAAGCUACAAGCUGCCUGUAUUUUCAGAGAGAUGAACAGGCGUGCGUCAUUAAAUUUCCACAUGAUUACAGUAGCAUUAUUGUCUUGGGAGAGAGAUUCUGAUUUUUGUUGAGAAAUGAAGAACAUAACUUCCAUAAGAAAAAACCAGCAGCAUGGACAUGGCCAUUCAUACGAGUCUUCCACAAAAACAGAGUAUAAAUUCCAGACGGAGCCGAAUCAUUAUUUAGUGUUGCACAAAAUCGAAAACUUGACAAUGAAAAUAGCUUGAAGGUUCCCUAGACACUUUACUAUUUGAGGAUGCUCACCUCGGCCAUCCUGCGUGUCCGAGGUGAACUCACCUCGUCCCUUAUCAGAGCUCAUCCGUAUCUUGGGCAUAACCCCUGAGCUCGGCCACUUCCCUAGCCUAUCGUGUAGGUGACCUCGGCACCACCCACUUCGGCCGCACGCUGAUGAGGUCACGGCCCCUGACAUCACCCAGGUCCAGUGCUUUAUCUGAAAAGCACUGGAGACUCUUAAUGGAACCUGCUCAAUACUCUCCGUCAUCACACUCAGGCGGCUACAGUGUCAGAGUCAGGCCUCCUGACACGGGACAGAGCCGUAAUGACCAGAGAAUGGGUCCCACCAGCAUGAGCUCUCCGCUCUGUCCUCUACCCUCCUAUAAAUACCCCACAUACACUCCUAGCAAGUAAGCAUACACUGUUCAUUUGCUCAUACUCU